GAUGACGUCCACUCAGCAUGGCCUUUAUGUCCUGGGCUACACACACGCUACAAUGGCCAGUACAAUGGGUAGCGAAGCCGCGAGGUGGAGCCAAUCCCCCAAAGCUGGUCUCAGUUCGGAUUGUAGGCUGCAACUCGCCUGCAUGAAGUCGGAGUUGCUAGUAACCGUGCGUCAGCAACAGCGCGGUGAAUACGUUCCCGGGUCUUGUACACACCGCCCGU
rnacentral:rRNA from 1 species